UACGAAGGGGGCUAGCGUUGCUCGGAAUUACUGGGCGUAAAGCGCACGUAGGCGGCUUUCUAAGUCGGGGGUGAAAUCCUGGAGCUCAACUCCAGAACUGCCUUCGAUACUGGAGAGCUCGAGUCCGGGAGAGGUGAGUGGAACUGCGAGUGUAGAGGUGAAAUUCGUAGAUAUUCGCAAGAACACCCGUGGCGAAGGCGGCUCUCUGGGACGGUACUGGACGCUGAGACGCGAAAGCGUGGGGAGCGAACAGG
rnacentral:rRNA from 1 species